AUUUGGGAAGAUGAAAAUUAGUGUCUUAGAACAAAGGCCAUGGGAACCUGGUGGAAAAACGAAAAAGCCAAACUCUUCAUUGACCCUAGAGCUAGGGUCCAAGAUUUGUUUCCAUGGUUUUUCCGAUAAUGCCUUCCAUGCCUAUUGUUCUCAUAUAUGCUUCUUCAUUUUCCAUUUGGUU
rnacentral:pre_miRNA from 1 species